rnacentral:sRNA from 1 species
CUGUCUUCGCCGAAUUG